UACGUAGGUGGCAAGCGUUAUCCGGAAUUAUUGGGCGUAAAGCGCGCGCAGGUGGUUUCUUAAGUCUGAUGUGAAAGCCCACGGCUCAACCGUGGAGGGUCAUUGGAAACUGGGAGACUUGAGUGCAGAAGAGGAAAGUGGAAUUCCAUGUGUAGCGGUGAAAUGCGUAGAGAUAUGGAGGAACACCAGUGGCGAAGGCGGCAUCCUGGUCUGCGACUGACGCUGUGGCGCGAAAGCUAGGGGAGCGAACGGG
rnacentral:rRNA from 1 species